AACGCACCUUGCGCCCUUUGGCUAUUCCGAAGGGCAUGCCUGUUUGAGUAUCAUGAACACCUCAACUCUCAUGGUUUGCCAUGAUGAGCUUGGACUUUGGGGGUCUUGUUGGCCUGUGAGCCAGCUCCUCUUAAAUGGAUUAGCUUGCCGGUGUUUGGUGGCGUCACAGGUGUGAUAACUAUCUACGCUUGUGGUUUCCCACCAGGUAACCUUCAGCAAUGGAGGUUCACCGGAGCUCAUAAAUGUCUCUCCUCAGCGAGGACAGAUUUUGACCGUUUGAUCUCAAAUCAGGUAGGACUACCCGCUGAACUUAA
rnacentral:ncRNA from 4 species